UACAGAGGUCCCAAGCGUUGUUCGGAUUCAUUGGACGUAAAGGGUGCGUAGGCGGCGCGGUAAGUCGGGUGUGAAAUCUCGGAGCUUAACUCCGAAACUGCAUUCGAUACUGCCGUGCUUGAGGACUGGAGAGGAGACUGGAAUUUACGGUGUAGCGGUGAAAUGCGUAGAUGUCAGGAAGAACACCUAUGGCGAAGGCAGCUCUCUGGGACGGUACUGACGCUGAGACGCGAAAGCGUGGGGAGCGAACAGG
rnacentral:rRNA from 1 species